rnacentral:lncRNA from 1 species
UUCAUUGGCUGAUCUUUUUUUAAAUAAUUCUAAAUUAAUACCCAAAUAUUUUGACAAUGCAACUAAAUCACCCAAAUUUAUUCGAUUUAUUCUAUUGACUUUCCUUCCAUUAUUUCUAUUUAAUUUUUCUUUAUCUUUUUAUUUUUCUUAUCUUCCUCUCUUCUUGUUCGAAAACAUUCAACCCUUUUGUCAAAAAAAAAAAAAAUUCAACCCUCCUCCCUCCACCAUUAACAAACAAAAAAAAAUCCUUCUCUACCAUAAUCGAAAACAUUCGACAUCUCAACUU